rnacentral:lncRNA from 1 species
ACCUCUACAAAUCAUAUUAACAAGCACCAAGUUCUUAUGCGAACACAAGAGGAACUCGGUUCACUCAAGCACUCACGUUUCUAGCCGUUUCACAACACAAGUGUAACCUUUCACUUAUGAUGUUCAAAGUUGGCGGUCUACUCUCUUCUUGAGAGGAAAAUGGUGUUUUAAUGUUACAAUCUUCAUUCAAAAAUAAUCUAACUAAGCAAAUAAGACUAAGGGGUUCCUACUUAUAGCCUAUUACAAAAGAGAUGGGAAAUGACACCUUUACCCAUAAUGAAGGGGGUAGGUUUGGAGUGUAUAAAUAGGGAUUCCGUGUAGUAUUUUUAAGACACUCAAGGCAUGUCUUCACACUUUAAUACAUACACUUCCUUGGACGAACUUAAGACAUGCCCAAACACAUCCAUCUUUAUGAAGGUGACUUGAAGAUGUUGUAGUUCCUCAUUUUGGCUCCUAGGGAAUGGUCUUGAGCUCUUGAUGCCCAUUUUCCACUCUUUUGGAAAGGCCUUCAUACUCUUCCCUCUUGUUGGAUAUGGUUGGAGUAUGGCUUCUUAUGCUUGUACCCUUUUUGCACUCAUAUCACUUAUAAUCCUUGUGCUCUUUACGCUUGUAUCAUCCUCUCCAUCUUGAAAGAAAUUUGUCCUCAAAUUUACACCUUACAAAACCAAAGAGAGGGAAAACAAGCACACAAUCCUCAUGGUAUGAGGGUUAGCAUUAGUGUCACAAAUUAUAUAAUCACACCUAGGGGGUACACCUUUAGAAUAAUCCAACAAUCCUUUGUUAUGAUCAUGAAAUACUUACUACAAGAAUCACAAAGGACUUGGCGAAGAUAGACAUCAAGGGAAGAGGAAUGCAACCCGAAACCAUCAUAUAUAUCAAUAAGCCAAGGUUGUUCACAUUUGAAAGACAACCACGGGUCCUUUGUCUGUGACAUGAAAAGCUUAGCAUGAAUGGCACAAAGGAUGUAGUUUUGGAAAAUACCAAGAGAUAAGGAAACUACAAUGAUCUUGAUGGACUUACUAUACCCAAAAGGUAAGACUACCUUUGACUUAGGAACUAAGAUACAUUUGUUUCAUUACCUCUACAAAGGACCUCAUCAAAUAUGGUUCCACUAUUAAUCCUAAGGUCCACCUUACCCACAUAUCUUUAUCAUUCAAAAAAAUAAACCAACCACCAAAUUUACUACCACUACACAGUAUAAAUUCAAAAUUAACAUGGUUAUCAUCAUAGGUAAAGAGGUAGUAUAGAAAGGAAUCAAGUGUGAAGACAUCUUGCCGAGGGGGUACACUUUUAAAAGACAACCAGCAAUCCUUUAUUUUUUUCAUGAAACACGUAGUUUGAAUAUUAAAAAGAUAGGGAUAAGAUAAUCCUCAAGGAAAGAUAAGCAUAAGUCGAGGCAACCUCUUUUUCAACCCACUAGUGUUCCAAGAUCAAAGGGAUGGUGUAACCAAGGGUAUAAGCCGAGAUUACCGAAUCCUUUUACUAGCAAAUCAUCCAAGACUAAAGAGUUGUGACCUAGAAGUAUUCUAUUAAGAGAAAGCACACCUUUAUUCACAAGUUUUCCAAGCAUAUGAUUAUCUUAAGCAAAACUAGUAGCACGGUUUGCAUCACACAAGCUCAAAGGGAUAUGUCUAAUAUCAUGGUCAAUAUUACAAGAAUGAAGACUAGCUUGAGGAUUUUGAAUCACAUCACUCACAUGAUCAAGUAGUGAACUAUCCUUAAGAGUAAAUUGACCAAAAUAUGCAAUAAGAGAACUACCAAGGAAAGAUUCAUGCUUUUCUACACUAUGUAAACCUGAAGCUACUUUACAUUGGCUACUACUAGCCUUAUCACAACAUUUCAAGCCUAAGGAAGUGUACAGUUUAGCAAUGAUACCUUGGUGUAUGCCACAACAGCCAACUUGUUUGGAGCUCUCGACCAAGGGUGUCACUAUCUCAUUUCCCAUGUUCUUGUGUGGAACCCCUUUUUGAUCUUUCUUUGAUAGAAUAUGAACUUGAACCUGUACAUAAGAAGGAUCAAUUCUAGGAAAAGUGCCAGCAUUUGGGUCAGUGAGUAUCAAAGAUCCUUUGUGGGAAAAUCCCACAAGCAUAUUUUUCUUUCCUUUUCCUACUUCACUACCUGCGAUUUUCCUUUCCCUCACCCUUUUUUCUUCACAUUCUUAUUGUAUCUCACCACUAAGUUCCUAUCCAUCUUGAGGAUUAGCCUCAUUCUCCUUGGAUCCUAGUUCUCCCUCUUUUUCUACUUGGAUGGGGUGUUUUCGGGUUAGUGUAGUUUGGGAAGGAGACAUUGGAUUUAGUGGAGUGUAGGGUCUUUGAAUGGGAGGAUUUUGGAGUGGAGGAUUCAGGUUUAGGGAUGGAAUAUGGGUUCCAAGUCCUCCUUGUGGAACUUAGUGGAGUGAGGAACUGCUAGGUCCAUCUUGUUCUCGGCUUUGGGAGUAAAGAUUGACUUGGUUUGUAGCACUUGGUGGAUACAAUAUUUGGUGUAAGGUCUCAGGGGUAAUAGUAGGUGAGGUGUUUUAAGGGGUAUGAGGUCCAGAACUCCUUUGGCUUUCCACCCUCUCAAACCUUUCACUCGUUGAGGCCACAUCCGAACCCAACUUCUCAACAUUUGCCUUCAUCCUAGCCACGCCUCGAGACAAAGUUUCAAGACUAGCUAAGAGAACAUUCAUAGCAUUAUUGCCCAUGGUUGGAGCAUUGGAAUUUUUGGGUUCCAUUUGAAAUUGUACCUACAAAACAAGCAAAUGUUAGUUCAAAAUAAGCUCACACAUUCUUCACACUCGGCUUCCUCACUUGGUUCUUCAAGUGUUGUAAGCCGGCUAUCAACUUGUGAGAACUUGGGAAUGAGUCUAUUCUUGAGUUGGAGUGGAUUUCGGUUUGAAGACUCAAAGAAGUUUUGUGCACACUUGAACAAAAAACAACGACGAAUUAUAAACGAGCAAAGCACCACAAGUAACGCUUAACACGAAAGAAGUACUCAAAAACUAGUUCACAACUUAGUAGGUUGUUACUAGUUGUCAACUAGCAUAGGAGUCAAUAAAAAUGAAACUAAUAGAGACAAGGAAAGAAACUACGAAUCUCCUAUGACUUGAGUUUUGAUGUUGGUGUGGACCACGUUUCUUUUUCUUUUUGGCCGUUUGAAUUUGUUGUUGAAGUGGAGUAUGAUGGUUUUUUUUUCAAGACUUAAAGGGUUCAAUCUUGUUUGUU